rnacentral:sRNA from 1 species
GCAACAGUCAGCCAAGUUUUCUGCAUAUUUCCCUUUCUCUCAAGCAAAACAGCUUUGAUGUGAAACAUUUGGUUCAACAUUUAUUCGACGAAAAACGGGUAAGGUGUAUCCCGAAAUGACGAAAAUGCGACGCUGUAACGUGGGCUGGUCAGCGAAGGUAUUCAUUCUUCAGUGAGGAAUUCGAAAUCAUUUUCGGGAAGGAUUUCCAUGUGGUCUUCAUUUUCCGCCAGCUCUAAUACCAAAUUGCUGGUAUCGAUAUUGAUCCUUUUAACCUGUAUCGUCCUAGUCUCAUUCAGGCACCCUGCCGUCGACACCGUGGGCCAGUAAUCGAGAUACAGGAUCGCGAGUCGAACUCUAAUAUAUUCUUUUGUCAAAAUUCGAACCAGGCCACGGUAGGAACUUUUUGUCAUUAGUUUACUCCUCUGUCACGUUUUAUCUGUCCAAUAGCACAUGAGAUUGUCUACUUAUUCUUAGACAGCCAACUGUUCAAACUCAGCGAAUUCUGUUUGAUUACGAAAAAAAAAAGGCUGUCCGCACAAGGCUGUGGGACAGCAUCGCAAACUUCCACUUUUCAUUCUGUGUUUCAUUUCGUUCUCGCAUCCAUAUACCCAAAGCAGAGCAUGAUAGCAAGCUCUCCAUAUUGGAUCCCUGAACAUCCAAGGAAGUUGAAAAUUGGAAUUGCUAUGGCUGGGCUUCCAUCCGGUCUUAGCUGUGGAUCUCUCAUUUCACUAAAAAGUGAUGCAACA